AAUAGGUUAUCGACAAUGGACUCUAACAAUUCAUCACAAGAUUUGCAUGGUAAAGAACCAAUUGGUGAUGAGAAAAUUGAUAAGAAAAAAGGAUGGGGUGCGUCAAAGUUGAAAAUGGUUAGUGGCCAAGACAAGUGCAAAGAGCUAGAGCGUAAUGAGUUUGGACAGCCGAUUGGAGAUAAUUCAGUGAAGUAUGCUUCUUUCCUAGGUUGCAUGAUAAAGGAAUUUGUGCCAUAUACAUUAGAUGGAUGGAAUGAUAUUGAUGAAGAAGUGAAGGAUAGGAUGUGGAGUUGUCUUCAGCUAACUUAUAAAGUUGAGGAUUGGGAAAAGAAAUCAAUUUGUCAAAAGUUAGCUAAAUUGUGGCGUGAUAGAAAAUCCAAAUUGCAAAUACUUGUACAAGAAGCCAAUACAAGUUAAGUGGCUUCACGAGAUCUCAGUUUGUUGAAGCUUAAAUUUAUGGACCAGAAUCAGUGGGACUUGUUUGUACAGAGGACAUUAUCAUCUACCUUUCAAGAAAAGAGUGCAAGUUUUAGAGCAAUGAGGGAAAAACAAGUCCACAUUCACACAAUGAGCCGGAGAGGUUAUGCCCGUUUAACUCACAUUAUGGAAAAGAGAAGUCCAGUAGAUACAAAAAUUACGAGAUCACAAGUUUGGAUUGAAGGUCACAAAAAAAAAUGGGGAACCUAGUACUCAAGCUGUUGGAGAGAAAAUGG